UACAGAGGGGGCAAGCGUUAUUCGGAAUUAUUGGGCGUAAAGGGCGCGUAGGCGGUCUCUCAAGUGGAUGGUGAAAUCCCCGGGCUUAACCUGGGAACUGCCGUCCAAACUGAGCGACUUGAGUCCGGGAGAGGUAAGUGGAAUUCCCAGUGUAGCGGUGAAAUGCGUAGAUAUUGGGAGGAACACCAGUGGCGAAGGCGGCUUACUGGACCGGAACUGACGCUGAGGCGCGAAAGCGUGGGGAGCGAACAGG
rnacentral:rRNA from 1 species